rnacentral:lncRNA from 1 species
AUAUGAGGGGGACAGUUCAUGCUCAUCAAAGGUAAAAUCUACCAAGAGGAACUCUCAAUUCUGAAGAGCUUUGUUCCAAAUGCAAGGGCAUCCACAUUCAUAAAAGAAACUUUACUAAAGCUCAAAGCACAUAUUGCAUGUCACACAAAAAUAGUGGGAGAGUCCAACACCCCACUCUCAUCAACGCACAGAUCAUGAAAACGGAAACUAAACACAGACACAUUGAAACUAAUAGAUGAAAUAGGAAACAAAUGGGUUUAACAGAUAUCUAUAGAGUGUUUUAUCCUAAAACAAAAGGAUAUACCUUCUCAGCACCUCAUGUUAUUGUCUCCAAAACUGAUUAUCUAAUUGAUCACAAAACAGGCCUCAACAGAUAAAAGAGGACUGAAAUAACCCCAUGCUAUCAGAUCAUCAAGGACAAAGGCUGGUCUUACAUAACAACAUAAACAAUAGAAAGCCCACCUAUACAUGGAAGCUGAACAACACUGUACUCCAGGAUAACUUGGUCAAAAUAAAAGUAAAGAAAGAAAUUAAAAGCUUUUUAGAGUUUAUUGGAAACGAAGCCACAACAAACUCAAACUUAUGGGACACAAUGAAAGCAGUCCUAAGAGGAAAACUCAUAGCUCUGAGUGUCUGCAAAAAGAAACUGGAGAGAGCACACACUAGCAGCUUGAUAGUAUAUCUGAAAGCUGUGG